AACGAACGCUGGCGGCAGGCUUAACACAUGCAAGUCGAACGGAUCCUUCGGGAUUAGUGGCAGACGGGUGAGUAACGCGUGGGAACGUACCCUUUGCUACGGAAUAACUCAGGGAAACUUGAACUAAUACCGUAUGUGCCCUACGGGGGAAAGAUUUAUCGGCAAAGGAUCGGCCCGCGUUGAAUUAGCUAGUUGGUGGGGUAAUGGCCUACCAAGGCGACGAUCCAUAGCUGGUCUGAGAGGAUGAUCAGCCACACUGGGACUGAGACACGGCCCAGACUCCUACGGGAGGCAGCAGUGGGGAAUAUUGGACAAUGGGCGCAAGCCUGAUCCAGCCAUGCCGCGUGAGUGAUGAAGGUCUUAGGAUUGUAAAGCUCUUUCACCGGUGAAGAUAAUGACGGUAGCCGGAGAAGAAGCCCCGGCUAACUUCGUG
rnacentral:rRNA from 1 species